rnacentral:lncRNA from 1 species
UUCUGAUGACCUCUCCAGCAUCAGGCAUCCAUGUUCCCCCAAGGUCACGAUUGCGAAUUUCAGUUUCGGUAAUCUAAGGAGCAUAAAUAUAUGGGCACUAGGCAGAGAUGGUGCCUCUGUCCAUGCCUGUUGGUAAAAAAAAAAAAAAAAAAAAAAUCAUGUCGAGUUCGGAGUUCAUUGACAAACCGAGCAGCCGGUAAGCACAUACAAUGAAAGCGGAUAAACGCUCCAAUAAACGACUUGGACCCUUUAUAUCAGACAAUAUUGACCAGAUUUAAAUGUUCAACAGGUCAAGAUUACAAGUUAAACUUACAGGAAAGCACCAGAGAAAACUCAUGGAAGAAAGAUAUAGUAUGAGUGAAACUCGCGAUGUAGUGCGGCAAGUUUCUUAGCAAAAGCAUCCAGUAAACUAAACUCAGAAAAGUUUUCUUAAUUACUUUUCUUAAUAAACAAUAAUUAGUUAGUUAGAUACCAGAUGUCUUUCCGAGCAGAUGAUUAACUUCUAUAUCAUUUGGCCAAGAGUUCAAGAAUCAAUAACAGACGGACUUCCUUUUGAUUGAUUUAUCAUUGGAAAUUUAGUCGAAGAUACCACGUAAUCAGAUAAGAAGAUGAGAAAGUACUCAUUGAUUAGAUAUCACCACGUCAUGGGCUGACGUGGCAUAUACUUUUAUACUAAAAGCCAACAAAAAUUUGACACGUGUCCAUAACCUGGCAGGCAGAUAAAAAAAUUAAAAUUGAAUUCCUGUGAUUUCUCUCUAAUCUUCCUUCUCCGUCCAUUAGGGGUGUGUAUCGUCCGGGUGGGCGAUUCCCUGCCUAGAUCGGGAACCACCCAUUAAGGGCCGGUUCCGAAAAAUUGAAAUUGGGAACCAUCCAUUAGUUGCAUAAACAGUCCAGUUCUCAGUGGAUCCAUGGAGUCGGUUUCACCAAUAAUAAUAUCGUUUUCUAAACCCCAUUGUGAGUACUCUUCAUAUUGAGUAAUACACAAGAAACCGGAAGCUACAACAACUAGAAAUCAAAACAUAAUGUUGAAAGUGAAAGAAAGUACAACAAAUUAUAAGUCAAAAGCCACAACGGCCAUCAAGUUAAUCACAUGAGCUCCACACCAUCUCAACGACACAAGUCCAAAAAAUUAGACCAAACCAAAUUUAGGUAGGUGGAACAAACUCAUCAAGUAAAGUAAAUUAGACAAGUUUAUACUUUACAACAAAAUUUGCCUAAGAGUUCAUGACUUGUAAAGCUUAUGAAUCCCAAGUUUUGAGCUCUUAAAUUCCUGAAAGUAAAACAAUAAUAAGGGUGUGUUUGUUUUGCGAAAAACAAUUUUCAGAAAAAACGUUUUCCUCAUUUUCCAGUGUUUGGUUCAUUUAAGAAAAUGAGUUAACGGAAAAUAUUUUCUUAGUUAACGGAAAAUGUUUUCAUUUUAAAGCUUAAAUUCAGGAAAACGAUUUUUCUUUUGAAAAAACCGGAAAACGUUUUCCAAAAUAUUUUAAGGUUUUUGCUUAAUGAAAAAUUUAUUUUCUAAUUAAAAAUUUUGAAUUUGUUAUUAUUAUAUUUUUUCUUUUCUUUCUUCUUUCUUUUUUUUUCUUAUUUUCUUUUUUCUUUUUUGGCCAGCGAACAUAAACCCUAACUCCUCCUCCCCUCUCUCCUUCUCCUUCGCCCCCUUCUUUUCGUCACUGCCACCUCCUCCAACCCUAGCCCCUCCUGCGUGUUGGCUUCGCUCCCUCCUCUUCCUCUUCGUCGGCAUCUUCUACACCUUCAAUCAUUUUUCAAAUACAACCCAAACACCCGAAAAUAUUUUCAGUCACAUAUCACCAAACAAAAGAAAACUAACCGUUUUCCUGGAAAAUGGUUUCCCGAAAAACAUUUUCCAAAAACAUUACGUUUUCCAUGAAAUAAACACACCCUAAGUAGAUGAUUGCUCAACAUCAGUAGAAAUUGAACUCAAACAAUUAUUGAAAAUCUUACCAUAUAUAUUCCUCCCACUUCAAUUUGUAAACUCUAUAAACCGGUAAUAUUCGUAUUAACACAAUCCAUAUCUAACAUGCAUAGGAUGCAAUGGCGGCCGAUGAGGCGGAUGCGGAAGCGGUGGCGGCGGCGCGGUUCGUCGGACGGCGGGCUCCGUCAUCCAUCAAAGAGAGCGAAGGGGAGAGCAGCCAGGUGAGAGUCAAACGAAAAAAUGGGGAGAGAGAGAAAGUCUCGUGCUCCGUUCAAAUUUACCGUGGGAGAGGAGUGUCUAUCGUGGGGCUUAGAGAGAAAUUCUUCAAAUUGACGGGGAGGGAAAGUUUUCUGGUGGGGCCCGGCAGAGGAGAGAGUUGAACAUUUUCUUUACCAAGGAAAGGAGUGGCGACACGUGUCGUCCGGUGAAUGGACUCAUAUGAUAGUCCGAACUCCACCUAAUAUUUUAUCGCCAAUAUUUUAUCCUCAGCCAAUCCAGACAAGUCCCACCAAAUCCCACCUGCGUUUCCUAAGGUACAAUCAUCAAUCCAUUUGAGUUUUUUUUUUUUUUAUCCUUCGAGAAUGUGAAGAGAGACAAUAAACUCUCGUGAAGAGAGAUAAUAAACUCUCUGUGCUCUGCUUUGGGCAUGAAUAAGCUCGCAUGCAAAGAGAGCGUGCGGCACGGACGUACAACGAUGCAUUUCUCUAGUGAUGGUGGAAGAGAUAUGGAGGACAUGAUUGAUGUUUUUGGGCAUUGAAACGAGAGUAGUUAAGAGAUGAGAGAGCCAAGGGUGAAGUGAGAAGAGAGACUGUUUUUGAGGAGGGAAGCACAAUGCUAGGCUUUUUAUAGUUUCUUUUCCUUUGUUUUCCAUGAUGCUUCCUUUUGUGAACCCUCAUGAUCUGACCUUUAAUAUUUAAGAGGAUAAGUUUUAUGCAAAUGGUGAAUAAUAACUAUUGGCAGGACCCAUCCUGCAAACUCAAUUAGAGAAUAGCCAUCGCAUUGCUAUGUUCAAUAUGUUCUAUUUCAUUAUAUAGAUAUGUCAUUUUGACUUCUUCCAUUCAUCAAAUUUGAACGUCACCUUAGGGAAGGGAAUAGCGCAUAUUACCUUUCAAGUAAACUUAGACAUUAAGAUUAUGACCAAAAAAGAAAAACAAAAAGCUCAGACAUUACGAGACAGAUAUCACCCUACCAUCACGUGGAGUAUAUUUGAUUGAUGUUGGAAUAGAGGAUGUUCUCACUUUUGAAGUAUAAGGAGCAAAACGAAGGACUGAAGCACAUAAAAAGUCAUUUGGUUUUUUUGGGAAUUUUCAUGUAGCGAAAGAGUUUACCGAACUACAAAAGUAAUAAAACCAAUCCAAAAAAAUAAAGAUUGAAGUUCUAUUAACAAAUACGACUAGGGCAUUUAUUAAGUACAUUUUAUGAUAAACAAUUCAAUUUUCGAGGCAUUGGUCAAGCAUAACCUAGCAAUAGUCACUACAUGGAAUACUGUAAAAUUUUCUUAAUGGUUUGUUAAUGUACCCAAGAGCAAAAUUUUGGGUAUAGUGUGUCCGGUGGUGUUCGGUACAAUUUUCACGCAACUUGACUAGUCUAUCUCAAAAUUAAAAAACUUGAACUCAAUGUUACAAGAGAAGGAGUAAACUCCUGUACCAUCUGGACCUACGCAUUGUUGGAAAAGUCCUAAAGAUUUGUCCAAGAGCGUAUAUGUCAAUCUCGAGGGCCACCUGAAAUUGCUAGCCACCGGCGGACUUCAUAAAGGGCAAAGAAAGAUUCAAAGACGUCCAUUGCUUUGGCUUUUUGGGUCAUUAAGCAGAGCAUGCUUUAACAAGGAAGCACUGCUACUGGUAAUUAAGUAAAGCUGAAAUGAAUCUGAAUUCAGUAAAGCCAGCACGUUAUUAACCAUUUUCGUUGGUCCAACUUUAGGAGAGACACAUAAUAGACUCCCGCAAUUAUUUCUUGAACUUGAGAAUAAAUUAAGAUGCCCCACGGAUACCGUGCAUUCACAUUACAUAGGAAUGAAACCAUCGAUGUUUAAUCUCGAUUGUAAAUCAUUUUUUCCCCUUCGUACACAACCGAUUAAGAGGGCAUACUGCCUAUACCUACUAAACUAACCCCAAAGAUCGAUUCAAAUGAAAAUAUAAAAAGGAUGGCAUUUGAACGAAUCGAACGUCUCCUAAUACAAUUGGUUAUUGUUUUCUUAGCAAAUAUUUUUCAACCAGUUUUUUUUCCCCUUAAAAGUAAUUCUUGCUCAUAAGAUUCCACAAAUCAGGUUAGACGUGACAAUUGGAGGAGCUGAUGAAUAAAGAGUAGACAGCUCUUGCCUCCCUUAAAACCCUCUUUCGAUUGGCCAACUUUCAGAGGAAAAAGACGAACGUUGAGGGUAAGUCUUGCUUUUAUGCCGACCAAGUCAACAAUGUCGACGGUCUGUGGGGGGAACGAAAUGGCGCCAUGAUGACUCAGUUACGAGACUUGCGCUGCAAGGAUCGCCUACGUGUUUCCCAUUGAAUCAUUCUCCCACCAAGGAAUUGCUACAAAGCUUUGAAUGGACAAAAACCAACCACGUACAGCAUCAAUUUUUGUCGAUCUCUGGGAUAACGUGCCUUUCGUGGAAAACCAAGAAAAGUUCUUUUCCUAAGCUUGGUGGUAUAAAGACACAAAGCAUGUAAUGAUUGAGAUCUUUUCCUAAGCUUAAUUUCUAGUGAUCUCUAAGAUAACGUUCCUUUCGCCGAAAAAAAGAAGAAAAAAAAGGCUCUUUUCUUAAGUUUGAUCGUAUAAAAAGACUAAACGGGAGAUGAUUAAGCUCUUUUCCUAAGCUUAAUUUUGGUUGAUCCCUAGAGUAAUGUUUUUUUUUUUUGAUGCCGCAUUCCCUAACUUUGAUCGAAUAAAGAGACAAAACAUGAGAUGAUUCUGCCCCGAGCUCAUUUUCUAAGCUUAAUUUUUGUUGAUCUCUAGAAUAAUGUUUCUUUCGCGAAAAAUGAAGAAAAUCUAUUUUCCUAACUUAACCCAAUAAAGAGAAAACAUGAGAUGAUCCCCCCCUUUCCCCAAAGGCAAAGUCCUGAAAAUUUUGGCAAAUUAUUUUAAAACUCUCCAAGCCAUCGACAAAGAUAUGUGAGGUCAGGUCGUAUUUGAGUAAGUUGAAAAUAGGUCCGACCUAAAUUGAUCCUAUUUUUAUUGUAAUGCAACUUUAGCGAUCCAUAUUCGGCCCGACUCGUAUUACAUUAGGGUCAUCAAGUGAACACGUUCCUUGGAUAAAAUAUUCCUUCAAAUAAGAAAAAAGUAAACAAAAUGAAGUGACGUUAGUAAAUAAAAUAAUUUUUUCUAAAAAAAAUAGAACUUGAAAAAGCUUAUAUAAAACUAAAAAGUCUGCAUGUGUUAUGAUGACACAUACUCUGAACGUAUGCUUUAUUGAUCCAAGUCAAUUAAAUCCUUUUCCGAUAGUUUGCAUCAAAUUCCACGGCCUAAUUAUCCCCUCAAAAAAUUCGUUGACUAGAAUGGGAUCGACGAUCUACUUCCAUCACGGGCGAUGGCCAUCUUCAAUCUGGAAGGAUCUAAAGCUGCCGAAGAAUCACCCAAGGCUUGGGCGAUUUUUUUUUUUUUUUUUUUUUUUUUUUCAGUCCUACUCUAUUCUUACUCUACACUCACUCUUAGACUUCUGCCCUACCUCUUGCAGAGCGUGGGAGUCGAAACCCACUUCUGAAACUUACGCGUCCCCACCUUAUCCCCCUAAGAAGGUGGUGAUUUGAACCCCUCACCUUCCCCUUCCAUGUUGGAAGGAAGGCCACUGGGGUGAAUCCCAAUGAUUCUUGGGCGAUACUUGAAAGUGGUUUUUCCUUGAACCCACUAAAACCCAUUAUUAAUUAGACUUGGUUCUGUUAGACCCAUUCUGAGCAAUUUUUAAAAUCUUAAGCAGCUCAUAUAUCAUCCAACUAAAGAAUUAAAAUAUGGGUGCGUGACUCAUUUUGCCACCAUUCUCAAUUUAUUCCUUUCUCAUCUCUUGAGAAAGGAAAUUGAGAUAUUGUGAAAUAAUAUCUAUUUAGAAAAUUAACCUAAUAUUGGUUGUGGCUCUCAAGAGAUUUGUUCGUUUAAAGUUAGAGUUCGCAUGAUAAUCAUUUAUUUUUCUAUUUCUCCCUUUUUAUGUUCCCAAACCAGGUUUAGAACAGAAAUCUAAUUAGUAAUAUCAUUUUUUUUUUUUUAAAUUUUGAACAGAUUUUAAUUCCAAAAAUAAAUUUGGAAUAGACAUCAAUGGCUAAAAUUUUUAAUUUUUAUAUUUCUGAAAUAAAAGUGAAAAAUGAAAAUUCUUCUAAUCGUUCAUUCUUAUCGCUACCCAUGUUAGCUACUGCCCGUUGCCGCCUGUGGGACCGGUGGCUAGCAAUGGACGGUGGACGCCCAUUGCUAGCCACCGGUCACCGGUUGCCCACUGCCUAUCGCUGAAUACUUGUGCUCGCCGCCCACCUCCCCACCUAUUGGCCGCCUCCAACCACCAUUCGGAAGGGAGAAAUUUUGUAUUGUUAUCAAACGAAUUUUUAUUUCAGAAAUAGAAAUUUUGUAAGGUUAUCAAAUGUGUAUUUUUGCUCAAAAACUUGUCCAGUGAAUAGAAAUAUAAAAAUUAGGCUGCGCAUGACAACGUUUUUUGAAAUAGAAUAGUUAUCAUUCAUGCCUUAAAUUUUCCUUUUGAUUCGCUUUAUUUAUCACGGAAGUAAUAUUUGUGAAAAAGAGAGGGAAAAUAUCGUGUGUGCUAUCUAAUUUGCAUGUAUAGAACCAGGUACCAGAAGCACCAUAUCAUAUCUCGAUCUUUAGAAGAGCAAAGCAACCUUUCUUUGGGGAGACGAGAGGAACAGAUCUUUUCUCUUCGUUAACAGAGAAGCUAAUGCGCACCUUCUCGGAUAUCCAAUGCAUUUGGGCUGCUUCGCUAUGAGCCAAGGCAGGUGGGACAUGGAUUGGAUUUGUGUUCGUUGUAAGCCGACUAGAAAUCAUCAUUAAUUCGGCUUUGCUCUAUUAGGCCCAUUCCAACCUAUAUUUUAACAUCCCAACUAAAUUAAAUACGAGUUAAAAUAUGCAUCAUGACCCAUUUUUCUACCUCUAAUCACGAGAGACGAAAUGUCUUUUUUUUUUUUUUUGUGUGGGUAUGUCGUAGUGCAUAAUUCUCCCACUUGCCCCUCCCUAGUGCACUGGGUACAUCCAUGUCAUCCGAUUAAACUGUUUUUGUCCUAACUUAAUGAAUCUUUCAUGCUGAUGUCCAUGCUUAAGGUGAUUCUCGUCACUGAUUAGCUGAUCAACCUUCACGUUGAAGAUCGGAUUAGCUUGAUCUACUGGGGCUUGUACAGCAGACAAAUGACUUGAUGCUGGAAUCGGUGGCAACAUUUAAGCACUCACCAAUGAAAUAAUGAAUAAAGGUACUGCAUUCAAGGUCUAAUGAAAGCAAUGACUAGCCAAGCACGUGAAAUGCUAUUGGAAUUCAUUAAGAAAGAGAAAGAAUCGUACUUGUUAUAGAUAUAUGACAUUAUUACGGAUAAACCAAUCACAUUUACGGUUCCCAAUUAAUUUGAAAUAGGCAAUUCUUUCACCGACUGUACACCAGUUGGUGCAAUGUUGGAUACCUACAUGAUACAUCGACUGGAGAGGCUUUCCAAGUGCAAGUAUCUUGCUAGGGUUACGGUGAUCACUUUCAGGCUUUCAAGUAACUAUAGCUUAGAUCAAACACUCUAUAGCAAUUAUGACUCUUAUGAUAUCACUGAAAAGGGUUGCUAGCUGAUCACCUUCUCCGGUGUUUCUAUUCCCUCAAAAACAAGAAUAUGCAUUCCUUAGAAGGGGCCAAGGAAUAUAUAUUCCAUGCGCUUAUGAAUAAAUUUAGUUUUCAUUUUCAAAAAUGAAAUUGCAUUCCUACACGUAAUUGAAAUUGAGAUUAAUUGAUAUUACUAAGAUAUGAAUCGUAUUUAUGUUAAAUUAGACUGAUCAAUUAUAGUUGAAUAUUGUUAACCAAUAGGACAAAGGAAUGAACAGAGAAAUUCUGAUAAACUAAAUAAAAACAUGGUCUUCGAAUAGCUAUUUGCAGGAUCCACCCCACAAACCAAAAUGGAGAAUUAUCCUUGCUUUGCCACUCUCACUCUGUUCUGUUCCCAUCAAAUAGAUAAGACAUUGUAACUUCUUCCAUCCAUCGAAUUGGUCGUCGCUUUGGGAAAGGGAGUAGCACACGGCUCCUUUCAAGUAGACUCGGACAUUAGUCCCAUUAGAACAAAAAAGUCUCCCUGACAGCGCGUGGACCUCACUUUGGAUAAAAAAGAAUCAAAAUGAAGGAACAACGCAUUUGAAAAGUCAUUAGGCUCUCUUGAGGUUUUCUAAGGUAUUGAUUCGAAAUCAAUAGGCCACCGAAUUACAAAAGCAGUUGAAAUUAAUUCAUAAUAAAGGUUGAAUUUUUGUUAAUGAGUGUCUCAUGUUAUUUGAAGGCAUUGAUUGCACAUAACACGGGAUCAAUCAAUACAUCAAGUACUGCAAAUUUUCCUUGAAGGGUUUGUUAACAAGCCCGAUAGGGCACUCUUUAAUAAAAUCCUAAAAAUUUCUUUUUGCGUAUAUUGGACUAAUUGAUGUCUAGAGUGACUUUCACGCACCUCAAUUAAUCCACCUCUUGAGGCGAUUUUAAGGACACACGCUUUGAUAUCGGCUUGGUGCAUUUGCGACAUUACUCGUGAAGAGCUCCUAGUAAGGCUUGAACUUACGCAAAUUCCCAUAUCAUCUAGCCCAUUAGAGAUUGUUCCAACAGUGUGUGUGUAAAUAUCGAGGAGUGUGAAUUUUCCAUCCACUUACGAACUUACGCAAAUUCCCACAUCUCUAGGUGUAACUCGAUAUCGAAUCCAUAUAAAUCUCACAUCCAUCAACAAGGUGCAACAUUGUCAGAAAAAAAAAUGUUGUCGGGGUUCGUCGUUGUACUCUCCAACAGGUACACACAUAGCCAUCUUCCAUAAUUGAUUAGCAGACAUAGACUUAAUUGUAAGAGUUUUUCUAAUUGUGGACUAAAUUAAUUGAUAUUGUAAUUUACUGUUUUUACGGUUACCGUAAAACAUGGUUGGUCUAAGGUGAGAUAGAAUGUUUCUUAAUUAGUCUAAUAUGGGUUGGCUAGUGUGGGCCAAGUUGAGCCUAGCCCAUAAUGAGAGGGACUGGCUGGAAACUCUAUAAAUAAUGCUCAAGUCUCUCCUCUAACCCUAAUUCUCACAUGUAUCCUCACCUAAUGGGCGUUUACCUAACGCUAAACGUGAGGGAGGCCGCCUUAUUGAAUUAGUGAUACGGAGGGCAAUAGAGGAGAAUGACUUGAUGCGUGGAUCCCCUUGAUAUAUGUGGGUAAUCAUUUUUCUGCUUCCGUUUUAUGUUCGAUGGAUCCCAAAACAGGUGCGUUAAUCUUUCUACUCAAUUAUGCAUGUUCUUGUUCUGGUUAUGGAGAUCUUGGGGUUGCGCAAUUUGCGUCCAACAUGUGGUAUCAGAGUAACUAUAACCCUAGAACUCAAACGCAAUUAGUUUUGCCCUAAUUUGUACGGAUUUACCAUAAUUUGUACGGAUCUACCCUAAUUUGUAUGGAUUAGCCCUAAUUGGUACUGAUCUUGCCAUAAUUUGUGAUUUUCGAGACUUUUUGUUCAAUAAAAAUUAAAUUAAAUCACAAAUUUGGAUUGGGGGAGACGAGACGAGCAAGAGGGUUGGCGGCGCGUUGCCGGGGGAUGCCGCACGCGCCCACACGCGUAGCCUGGGCGUCGAAUGCGCGCCACGCGUGAGCCCCACGUGCCACACACUCAGGCGGCGCGUGCGGGCGCGUGGGGGCUUAUUUUGGCGUGUGGUUGGCGGCGUUGGACUCGUAUGGUAAUUUCCUAUCUUGUGGUAUAUUUAUUUUAUAUGUUUGGUGGUUUUAUUGAUGUGAAAUUGCAUAUGGAAUCCUAAAUACGUGUAUUUUUGCGUAUUUUUCUUGUAUUUUCUGUGAUUUUGGAAAUACAGGUGAUGGGUUACUAGUAUGUUAUCACAUAAUAAAAAGGUGUGAUUCAUAAAUAAAAAUCAAACUUUAUUGUGAACUGAAGCUGGCUUAAUGAGAUACAAUUCGUAUGAGAUUGUAUUUGAGCUAUGUAUUGAGCUGAUGAGAAACGGUAAAGAUUAUAAAACUUUUGUUACUCAAGUAUACUCCUUUACACACUGGUAAUCUUUGAAUGAUAGACGACUUAAGGACUCGUGACCAAACUGAUGUACUGAUUAACACAUCUACUGAAUGUGGAUAAUGCAUGUCAAUUAAGUUACUGCAUAUUGUACAUGAACUCAUCUGGUCACUUGUUAAUAUCUAUCAAGUUGAAUAUUUUUUAUGUUGUUCUGGUAAUAUGUAAUUGAGGUGCAUUAGAGAUGUUUUAUUCUCUAUUAUGAGAAGUUUCUUGUGUUACUGUGAUCAAUGAUCUCAUUGGAAUUUGUCUUUCAGGUUCGCUAUAUAUAUAUGAUUAAUUUUUUAUUAAUGAAUAAAGCAAUGUAAUUAGCAUAAUAUGUGAUUUUGGUGAUAUGAUGCCCCUAUCACUAAACUUAAAAUCACAUGUAUAUGGUAUAUGUGAGGAGUAAAGAUUAUAUCCCUGGUAUGAGAGAAUUUCAAUGAUUCAAUUUAGUAGUGACCGCCAAAGUGGCACGCUUGAUUGAGUUUGAGAAAUUUCGGUCUCGUAUGAUGAUUGGGAUGUUUCCUGAUCUAAUGCGUAAUCAUACUCCCAAAGGAGGUGAUUGUAUAUUAGUUCAUGGAGGGAUACAUGAUAGUGUGGUGGAAGAGUGACUGAUUCUAGUGAUUCAUAUGCCCAAAUGUGAUGAAUUCACGAAGAAUUGAAAUAUAUUCUCAUAAUCGCUAUCAUGUGGAGAGUGUACAACUACAUGUCAUAUAUUCUGCCCAAAGGUGAUUAUAUGAUUAUGCAUGUAACUCUCUGGAUGUGUACUUGUAUGUCAAGUUACACAGUGCUCACAUGAUGCUAAUUAUAUACAUUGCUUGAUUUUCAGUCACCUUUUCUGUAAUUAAUAACUUCAUUAUUAUUGAGAUUUUUACUGCUUCAAAUUUUAAGUUAUGGACAUAUGAUUUGUUGCUUGAGAAAAGAGCAAUAGAAUUUAUUUACUGUCCAUGAGAACACUUGAAAAUAGGUUUGCUUGUGGAUUGCAUUACUAUAAGACGAUGGAAGCCUUAGUUGCUUGAAAUUAUGUCUUGUCUGAUAUUGAAAUUAGGACACAUCUGCAAAGAUUGUGUUUAAGUCUUAAUGACAUAUACAUCUCGUAUAUGAUUAAAAAGUUGUCAGGUUUAACAGUGGCUAUGAGUAUUUUGGCAAGUAUGACAAUGCGAAAUAACUUAAAGGGUCAUUUGUCAAAUACUUGGUAGAUUCUGGGGUGGUAACUUAAUUACUAUGCCUGAAAAUCUUGACAAAAGAUUCACUUGAAAUUAUUUUGUAUCUUACCUAGAUUGUUCAAAAGGGUAUUGAUUUUAUGACCCUAAAGAAGGUACAAGAAUUAUGGAAUCACAUAUUUUAAAGUUUCUUAAUAUUUACGUAAUUAUAGAGGAUAGCUGCUAUCAGACUAUUAAAGAUAAUAGUAUGAUAGAGGUUACUAUGUUUUUGUCUUUACCUAUACAGAUAAUUAUGGAAUCUCCUGUACCAUAGACUAAACUUGUUGAGGUUCAAGAUACUAUUCUUGAUAUAGUUUAUAAUGAAAUUUCUUAAAUCUUUCAAGUGCAGAAUGAAGUGGUUGCAGCUUUAUUAAGGAGAUUUGUUAAGGAAAGACGAUCAGUUAUACCAUCAGACUAUAUAGUCUAUUUGUGAGAGCAUGAUUACAAUAUCCACUAUAUGGUUGAUGUAAGACAUAUUUAUAAAUGUCGUUUCUUAUUCUCAAUCAAGUAUGUGAUUAGAUGCCAUAAAAUGCGAUAUACAAUCUAUGAAAUAUCAUAGUGUUUGGAAACUAACUUACUUGCCUAAAGAUUACAAAUUCAUUAGUUGCAAAUUGGCGUACAAAAUUAAAAGAAUUUCAAAGAAAGAUUGUGGAAUUUAAAGCCAAAUUGGUAACUAAAGUUUUCACUCUGAAAGAUGAGUGGAUUGUUUAUAGUGAAGAAAUAAAUAUUUCUUUCUAGUAUUUUUAAAGAUUCUUUCAGAGUGAAUGUUGCAUUAAUAAUUUAUUUUGAUAUGGAGUUACGCCAAAUAGAUACAAAAUCUAUAUAGUGCAACUGAAUGAUUUUGCAGCAGAUUUAAGUAAACUUGUAUGUAGACUGAAAAGUUCUAAUUCAUGGUCUUAAGCAAGUUUCCAGACAAUAUUAUUAAAGUUUCAUAGUAUUAUUAUUUUGUUCAAUUGAGAACAAAGUAAUUCAAUAUACUGCAAGGUCAGUGGGAGGAAAUUUAUUUUUUCUCAUACUUUAUGUACAUGAUGUUUUGCUUACAAGUUGUGAUCUUGAGACAUCUUAUAUCAUUUGUACUGAGGUCUGUAAGGAUUGUUUUUGGCAUAUUAUAUUAGAUUUUAUCGGAGGACAUUUGCUGAUUGUAUAUUGGAAAUAUUCAAUAUACAUCAUUACAAGCCAGGAAUUACUCCUGUUGUUAAGGGUGAUGGACUAAAUCUAUCACAUUGUCCUUAUUUAGAUAUUGAGAAAAUCUAAUUAAAUGGUGUACCUUGUGUCAGUGCACUUAAAAGUAUAAUGUAUGCUCGAAUUUGCACUAGACUAAAUGUUGUCUUUGUGACGGGACUUCUAGGCAGAUAUCGAUCAAAUCCAAGACGCGAUCACUAGGUUGCUGCCAAGAAGAUUUAAAGGUACUUAAAGAAGACAAGAGAUUAUAUGCUAAUUUAUAGAUAUGUUCAAUUCUUACAGUUAGUAGGGUAUUUAGAUGUAAACUUUACUAGCUGUUCUGAUGACAUGCAAUCAAUAACAGAAUACAUAUUUAUGUUAGCAGUAAGUGCAGUAAAUAAAGUUUUAUGUCAUAUUCUACUAUGUAAGCAGUGUUAGUAACAUUCUUUUAGGCUGUUACUUGGGCUUUUAGGCUCCAGAACCUCAUGAAAGGAGUUGAUUGUUUUAACUUUAUGGAUAGACCCAUACGAUUGUAUUGAGAUAAUAAAUUUGUAGUAUUAUUUAUUUAUUACAGAGGUCUCAAGGGGUCUAAAUAUAUGGUGGUCAAAUAUUUUUUACCAUAAAGAAACAGUACAGAAAUGUGACUUAUAAUAUAACAUAUUUUCACAGAUGAUGUGGUUGCAGAUCCACUAACUAAAGGCCUACGCCCAUGUGUAUUUGAGUGACAUGUCAUUAGCAUGGGUCUAGGAGUAUCUUCGGAUACUGUUGUUUAGUGGGAGCUAUUUUGGCUUUACUCUAAUAAAGAUUUCAUCUGUAUUCGUUACACUUUGUAACGGUUUGAUAUAUAUCAACUUUUGUAUUCAAUAAAAUAUUUUUGAAUGUAUUGUUAUUAUGUUGAAUACAUAUUGAUAAAGUCUCAAGGGAUUGUAUAAACCUUGAGUGAAGGCUAGGGGCAUCCGGGCAUCUGGUUAUUAGCCCUGUGCAUAUGUCUGGUGAUACAUAAAGAAAGGUUAAUCAUAAGGACAAGACAUAUGUGGGUUCAUUGGAACCAUAAAGCAUUCUCUAGUGGCACAAGUUUUUGUGACACCUAAGUAAGAGAAUGGUGACUGACAAAUGGGAUUUCUCUAUGAGAGAUGUUAUCCAUUUGACACACUACCAUAUUGAAUCCAUAUCAAUAAAGUUGAGAAUAUUCGUGAUUAUGGAAGGCUCUGUGUGUAUACAUGCAGUUACCACCGUGAUUCGGUGUUUAAGACUUUAUGAGAUAGGAUUGACUAUUAAGAAUUAUCUCUGGACCAAUGUGCGCACAUACAAUACGAUUUCAAUUAAUAUAGUUCAAGUGGGAGAAUGUAAGAGUUUUUCUAAUUGUGGACUAAAUUAAUUAAUAUUGUAAUUUAUUGUUUUUACGGUUACCGUAAAACAGGGUUGGUCUAAGGUGAGAUAGAAGGUUUCCUAAUUAGUCUAAUAUGGGCUGGCUAGUGUGGGCUGAGUUGAGCCUGGCCCGUAAUGAGAGGGACUGGCUGGAAACUCUAUAAAUAGUACUCAAGUCUCUCCUCUAACCCUAAUUCUCACAUGUAUCCUCACCUAAGGGUGUUUACCUAACACUAAACGUGAGGGGGGCCGCCUCAUUGAGUCGGUGAUACGGAGGGCAAUAGAGGAGAAGGACUUGAUGCGUGGAUCCACUUGAUAUAUGUGGGUAAUCCUUUUUCUGCUUCCGCUUUAUGUUCGAUGGAUCCCAAAAUAGGUGCGUUAAUCUUUCUACUCAAUUAUGCAUGUUCUUGUUCUGGUUAUGGAGAUCUUGGGAUUGCGCAAUUUGCGUCCAACAUUGAUGUCCAUGAAAACUCGAUCAGGAAACUAUGAAGCAGUUCCCAAACGCACCCUUCCUAUCCUAUGUUUCAUUCUUUGUGGUUGUUUAAGAGAAGAAGCGAAGGAAAAAAAAAUAAGUCAGAGCCAGGACAAAGUCGAAACAUGAAGAUUUUCAUUUCUUACAAGCAAUGAUAGAUUCACACAACUUAUCACCACGAACUACAGUAACGAAAUCAGUAAAGAAAAACGUCUUCGCCUGGAAAAAGGAAACUUGCACCACAAGUCCUGAAACCUUAAUACGGAAUGCAAUUAUGGUAUAAAUUUUCAAUUGGCUCAAUCAAUACCUCAACCCAUCACUUGGUUCAACUAAAUCCUCAACCUUUAUCCCAAAAAAGAAGAAGUAGGUCCUGAGAUUGUGUUGAAAAGUGCAAGCAAGGGGUGCCACAUAAGCACUUAUUGAGUGAACAACCUUAGGUAUUGUUCACCGAAAAGUUUGAUUAUGCUUUUGGAAGAAGUUUUAGGACUUAACUGAACCGAUUAAAAGAUUUAGAAGUUGAUUGCAUUCCAUACACAACAUUAAGGACUUUCAAUGUGCUCUCCCCUCCAAGAAGAGAAUACCUUGCAAAAACCACUAACGUGAUAUCGCCAGGGAAAGUGUAGCAAAAAUCCUAAAUCUUAUGUAGGAAUGCAAAAAGGUUCCAAAUCUUUCAAUUGGUUUAAUCAAACUAUAUAAUUUAUCAUAGUGCAAUUAAGUCUUUAUUGGGAACACUCCAAGUUUGUCUUUGGCAGCUUUUGAUUGCAUUCCCUAAAAGUUCAGGACCUAAUUACAUUUUAAUAGAAGUUUAGGACUUGAUUACAUUAUUGAAAGGUCUAAGAUUUAAAUUACACUCUGUUAAAAGUUUAGGUCUUGAUUAUACCAAUCUAGAAGUUUAGUACUUGAUUGCAUUCCAUAAAUAAGGUAUAGGACUUACGGUGUACUGUCACCUGAUAUCCACCAAAACAGAAGUGUCUGCAUUGGUUGCAUCUCCUUCUUCAAACACAGAUAAUAAAUCAAAUGUCGAUACCAUGUCGGCUGCUACUUGAUGUGACCGUUACAUGGGAUUCUCCGUUUGAUUUCACAGAAUUGCUAGGUUGUUCUAAAAACGAAGCCAAACAUGGAUCGGUCCAGUGGGGAAGACCGGUUCUAGCCCCCAAUUCCUUGCACCCGGCAGCCGCCUAGAGUUGAAAAACCGCGCGAUGCAAAAAGAACAACUUAGAAGAGACUAAUAUGACAAAAUUAUGUGAUAUUCCUAUCUCUAAUCUGAUAACUAAGUUUAGACACUCUGUUUAGGUAGCAACUGUAAUUCUCUCAUCACUUCAUCAAUUCGAAGGAAGAAAGUCUACUUACCACUGUGGCAGCGAAUGGAAGCAUUGUUUCCGGGGGCAUGUUCGUACACAGCGCUGCAAUUACGACAACAGGAGUCAAGGACGUCAAGGACUUAAUCUGAGAGAACCGAUGCAUCAGCACAUUGAUAGGUCGAUGUGGUGUGUAAAGCGGUAUCUCACUCUCCCAUAUGAUACAGGGUCUUAUGAUUGACGGUUAAAUGUCUUGCGAUAUGGAGCAUGCGACCUUCUGUCCAGUUUCUGAUGGAUAAGUAAUUCGCAACUCAACAAUACUGUUGACCGUGGUCUGGCUACAUUCGCGAUAUUUGCAAGAUGAUCUCUGGGUUUAUGAUUUUCGUUGUCAUUUGGUCACAUGACAAAAUAUGACUAGUGGGAAACAGUUAGCUAAGAUAUGGAGUGAGCAGCCAAGUUCCGCUAUCCCAAUAUGAAAAAGAAGCAUGAUAAACUGCACAAUCAUUUGAAGAGUCUCUAAGUUUUGGCUAAGCCUACCGUAGAGAACAGCUCCGAUGAAAGCAUCGCCGGCGCCAGUUGUGUCCACUACUUCUGAUGGUGGUAUCCUUUCGGCAGUACACACGAAUAAUCUACCAGUCAAUGUCCCGAUUCCGUUUGCUUUCAAUUUCACCACUUUCUGACAGGGAAACAAAUAGUAUUAAUUUGUAUCCCACUUUAAACGUCGCGAACCAGACAAUGUCAUGCAUCUCCAAACUGAAACAAUAAACAGCACGGGAACAGACUUUACGUCAAGUGCAAAACCAAAUUACUGCACUAAUAGUGCUGCGUGCUUCUAACACAGAAAGUGCUAUAAACUAUCAGCACUUGCAGAGCUGCCUUUGAGCAACGACUGGUAGAAACCUGCUGAAAUUGACAAUAUAUUCUCCCCCAGUUACACCAAAUGAAUGAAGUAAUCAGACACGGCAGAAAAUGGGGAAAACUUCUCUACUGAUUGUACUGCAGUACUAAAUUGAAACAUGGCAUCCAUUCGGUGAUGAUGGAGAAAGGUGGUUUGUGCAAGGCAAGUACCGCCCGAGACUACUUAGAUCAUGUUUAGACAUCAUAUGUUUAUGAUCCUAAUUACAAGGUAUAUUGAUGUGUGGUUUAUCCGGCCUUGGGAUCUCCUAUCUCAAUAACUAGCUUUUGGGAAGUAAGAAGAGAGUUCAUCGUGUAUUCUGAAAUCAUUUGCACUUAAGUGCUUUGGCUGAAUCAUGCUGCAUUUCCUGGACUGGUUUGCUUAUAGCAUAGAGGAUUGACAUGGACAAUGGCUAGAGGAAAAGUCAUAACCAGCAUUUUCAAGAGUAGAGUUAACAAGAUUUCACAUUUUAGAUAUGCAAUUGGUUGAUAGGUUCAAUCCCAUGAUCCAAUUUUCAUAAGCGACUUUCUAUGAUCCCAAAAUUAUUAUCAGUAGACAGCAAUUGUUGAAAUUCAUGGAAUGCUGUUCUUGCAUCUGUGACUGGCCUGAGGCACAACAAUAACACAACAAGCAAGCUUCUUUGAUAUCAACUAGAGAAGCACAUUACCGAUGGAAUGCACAUUGGUAUGGCGACACUAUCAUCUAUUUCUUGCUUUAAAGAAUGGAAUAAGCUAUCGGCAUCUUCUUCUCCCACCAGAGGGCUCUCAGCUGGACAUAAAGUUACAAUUAGCAUCAGUUGAAGGCAUCCUGUAUUGGGGGGGGGGGGGGGGAAGGAGGGGCCGGAGUCCUGAACUUACCUUCUGAUGAUCUCUCCCGCAUCAGGGAUCCAUGUUCCCCCAAGGGCACAAUUGCGAAUUUCAGUUUUGGUAAUAUAAGAAGCAUGGAUAUAAGGGCACUAGGCAGAGAUGGUGCCUCUGUCCAUACCUGUUGAACAAAAAAAUCAUGUCCAGUUCGGACUUCAUUGACAAACCGAGCAGCCAGUAAGCACAUACAACGAAAGCGGACAAAAGCUCCAACAGUCGACCCAGGCCCUUUUAUAUCAGACAGUGUUGACCAAAUUUAGAAGUUCA